GCUCUUUGUUCACACCUGGAACUUGAGAAGCACUAGCAGACAGUGACAGCCGCCAUAUUUCAUUGUGAUGUCCACGUAAUCAAGUGAAUUAAUGCUAUUUGUUUUUUUAUGUGUGGAAGCCAUAGUUUUGUUAUUUUACUAACGGUUAGUCGUAAUCACGGCAGUUUAUUACAGUCGUUUAUACUAGGUGUUGUCCAGAAAGAAGAAUAAUACAGCGAGAAAGAGCUUCUAAAAGGAAGUGUUGUCUGCUAAGGUCCCAACCAGUCAACAAGCUAUGUCCCAGGAGAUUCGGAAUUUCGUGGAAAUAAUCAUUAUCGGAAAUGUGUGGUUUCUUGUGACAGCAGAAUGACUGUAAUGGUAUGGACUCCAACUGCUUAUACUCGUGGACCUUUUUUUUUAUUGACGAUUUACAGCUGCUGCAAAACCUACCCUUAAGUCGUCAUCCUUUGGGGUUAAUUCAAGCAUGCCUCCCCAGUAGGAACUCUUGUUUCCAGUCUUCAAGAUGAUUUAACCUUAUUUGCUAAAUCCCAGGUCACAGUUCUCACCCAGCAGCAACCCCCAAGUCAUAAAUGAGUACAUGAAUGAGUCCACUGAGUCACUACCAGAUUCUUUGGACUUAAUCAGUGAACAUCCCAGAGGGAUUUAUUCUGUGAAUGGAAAUACAGAGAGAAGAGAUGAGUAAACUGAAGAAACGCACAACACAGAGAACAAUGUAUCUGGGGCUAAUUGUUACCAAAGGCAGUCUCGAAUACCAUCUGUGUUGUGCUCGGUCCAGCGUAUACUUCCAGCUUGAGUUUGCUCCUGGUCAAUUCUCAGAUAGUAAUCAGUCCAUGUAACCUAUAAAGUGUUAAUUUGAAGUCGUUUCCAUUCAUCUUUUUAUGUAAUUUUCCAAACGUGAGGUUAGACCUCAGAAGUGUCCUCCCUGUUAUUUCUAGUGUACGUUCUCCUUGAAUUUCCAUGUGGUUUCAGACCAUCCCUUACCCAUACCUUCCUUUCCCAUAAUCCUAAACUUAGUUUUGCUUGUUUUGGUUCUCAGUCCUCAGCUCAACUUGUCAGUCUGUCAUCUUCUUAAACAAUAUUGUAUGAAUCAUCCUGAUUUUGUUGUUAACACCAAGUCAUCUACAUGCUGAAGCUCCCAGGGGAUUCUCUCUUCAAUUUUGUGUAACGUCCCCAGUUUUUCGAGUUAUGGUUUCUGCCACAAUAUUCACUCAAGUUUUCAUAUCAUGAUAAUGCUAACUACCAACACUUAACAAGUCCUCCUUUUGCCCGUUUCUUUUCCAGUGCCCCUUCUAAUUGCAUUUCUUGGUAGUACCCAUUAAAAUGCCAUCUCGAUUUUUUGUCUACAUUGGAUUUUGGUGUCUGGGAGGUUGCACAAUGCAUAAAGCAGGCUAAGCUUAUUGUUUGGGUUCAUAUAU